ACAACACAAAGAAGUGACUGAGAAUUCUUCUGCCUAGCAUUAUAUGAAGAAAUCACGUUUCCAACGAACGCUUCAAAGAGGUCCAAAUAUGCACUUGCAGACUUUACAAACAGAGUGUUUCCAAACUGCUCUAUGAAAAGAAAGGUUAAACUCCGUGUGUUGAACGCACACAUCAGAAAGUAGUUCCUGAGAAUGAUUCUGUGUUGUUUUUAUAAGAAGAUAUUUCCUUUUCUGCCAUAGGCCUAGAAGCGCUUGGAAUCUGCACUUGCAAAUACCAAAAAAAGAGUGUUUCAAAUCUGCUCUCUCUAAAGGAAGGUUGAAAUCUGUGAGUUGAAUACAAACAACACAAAGAAGUUACUGAGAAUUCUUCUGUCUAGCAUGAUAUGAGGAAAACCCGUUUCCAACGAAGGGCUCAAAGAGGGCCAAUUAUCCACUUGGAGACUUUACAAAGAGAGUGUUUCCAAACUGCUCGAUUAAAGAAAGGUUAAACUCUGUAAGUUGAACACACACAUCACAAAGUGUAUUCUGAGAAUGAUUUUGUCUAGUUUUAAUACGAAGAUACAUCCUUUUCUACCAUUGUCCUCGAAGCGUUUGAAAUCUGCACUAGCAAACUCCACAGAAAGGGUGUUUCAAAUCUGCUCUCUCUAAAGAAAGUUUCAACUCUGUGAGUUGAAUGCACACAACACAAAGAAGUAAAUGAGAAUUCUUCUGUCUAGCGUUAUAUGAAGAAAUCCCGUUUCCAACGAAGGCCUCAAAGAAGUCCAAAUAAGCACUUGCAGACUUUACAGA
rnacentral:lncRNA from 1 species